GACAGACAGACAGACAGACAUCCGAAAGAAAGAGCGAAAGAGCCGAUUAAAAAGGUUGGUAGAAAGAGGCAGUGCAGAUAGUCUGACGUUCAACUGGUGUUUUUCAGCACUGUUGGCAGGAAAGGGUGAGAUCCUUGAGCGGAAAACGCCAAGUUAGUGUUGUUGAUGUCGGAACCGGCAGCAAACUACAUUCUGGGCCAAACAGAUAGCUCAGUCUGUUCUGAUUCCAUCAUCUACACUGUUGUCACACAGGUAACGUGUCCU